AAUCGAUACCAAUAGUCGCCUGAUUUGGAAGACGAGAAACAAAUUAAGAAGUGAAAGAAACAGAAUCAUGUAAUGAAUUUUGCAAACUAAAAUAGUAAAAUGCAAAUGAAAGAGGUUCAGAUGAUGCAUAGGGUGAACAGAUGCCUGAAAAAGGCAGGGAAGGUCUGCGGCUCGUCACUAUGGCUUCUAAAAUCUUGCAUCUUUAUGUUACUAACUCAUCAAUUAAAACCAUACUAAUGCCAUUAAUGCCCAUAUUGACCUUCAACUAGCUCAAACAUUAAACUUUUAGGCUUACUAGAACUUGUUAUCAAAAUUAGCGUUUUAGCAAUCAACUCCUUGUGAUCUAGAUAUCAUUACCACGGACAUCCCAAUGGCUAGCAGUUCAGGCAGUUGCACCAUAAAGUCUUAUUUACCCUUUGUUUGGAUCCUUAAUUG
rnacentral:misc_RNA from 1 species